GAUGAACGCUGGCGGCGUGCCUAAUACAUGCAAGUCGAACGAAACUUCUUUAUCACCGAGUGCUUGCACUCACCGAUAAAGAGUUGAGUGGCGAACGGGUGAGUAACACGUGGGCAACCUGCCCAAAAGAGGGGGAUAACACUUGGAAACAGGUGCUAAUACCGCAUAACCAUAGUUACCGCAUGGUAACUAUGUAAAAGGUGGCUAUACUACCGCUUUUGGAUGGGCCCGCGUGGCAUUAGCUAGUUGGUAGGGUAAAGGCUUACCAGGGCAAUGAUGCGUAGCCGAAUUGAGAGGUUGAUCGGCCACAUUAGGACUGGGACACGGCCCAAACUCCUACGGGAGGCAGCAGUAGGGAAUCUUCCACAAUGGGCGAAAGCCUGAUGGAGCAACGCCGCGUGGGUGAAGAAGGUCUUCGGAUCGUAAAACCCUGUUGUUAGAGAAGAAAGUGCGUGAGAGUAACUGUUCACGUUUCGACGGUAUCUAACCAGAAAGCCACGGCUAACUACGUG
rnacentral:rRNA from 1 species